UACGUAGGUGGCAAGCGUUGUCCGGAAUUAUUGGGCGUAAAGCGCGCGCAGGCGGUCCUUUAAGUCUGAUGUGAAAGCCCACGGCUCAACCGUGGAGGGUCAUUGGAAACUGGGGGACUUGAGUGCAGAAGAGGAGAGUGGAAUUCCACGUGUAGCGGUGAAAUGCGUAGAUAUCUGGAGGAACACCGGUGGCGAAGGCGGCAUCCUGGACCGGUAUUGACGCUGAGGCGCGAAAGCUAGGGGAGCAAACGGG
rnacentral:rRNA from 1 species